UACGGGGGGGGCAAGCGUUGUUCGGAAUUACUGGGCGUAAAGGGCGUGUAGGUGGUUUCGUAAGUCUGGCGUGAAAUUUUUCGGCUUAACCGGGAAAGGUCGUCGGAUACUGCAGGGCUAGAGUCCGGAAGAGGCGAGUGGAAUUCCUGGUGUAGCGGUGAAAUGCGCAGAUAUCAGGAGGAACACCGAUGGCGAAGGCAGCUCGCUGGGACGGUACUGACGCUGAGGCGCGAAAGCGUGGGGAGCAAACAGG
rnacentral:rRNA from 1 species